ACGGAGGGUGCAAGCGUUACUCGGAAUCACUGGGCGUAAAGAGCGUGUAGGCGGGUAUUUAAGUCAGAAGUGAAAUCCAAUAGCUUAACUUUUGAACUGCUUUUGAAACUGUAUACCUAGAAUGGGGGAGAGGGAGAGGGAAUUUCUGGUGGGGGGGUAAAAUCCGGAGAGAGCAGAAGGAAGAAAGAUUGCGAAGGAGAUAUAAUGGAACAUUAUUGACGCUGAGACGAGAAAGAGUGGGGAGCAAACAG
rnacentral:rRNA from 1 species